GAUUAAAAAUAAAUAUGGAUCAAUUAGAAAAAUUGAUUAUACUAAUCAAAUGUUGAAUUAGAUUAGAUCAAAAUUUUUUUAGAUCCACCUCAAUAGUUGUAGCUUGAUCAAGUCUAUAUUUUUGACCAUACCAGUUGGACCAUGAUCAUGGCUCAAAAUUUUAGCUCGAGUUCUUUGGCUGACUGAAUUGAAACUAAUCCACCAAUUAGUAUCUAAGGUAAGUUUGGCAAUAUUGUAUGGCAAUU
rnacentral:lncRNA from 1 species